rnacentral:rRNA from 1 species
AUUGAACGCUGGCGGCAUGCCUUACACAUGCAAGUCGAACGGUAACGGGCCUUCGGGUGCCGACGAGUGGCGAACGGGUGAGUAAUGCAUCGGAACGUACCUUUCAGUGGGGGAUAACGUAGCGAAAGUUACGCUAAUACCGCAUAUUCUGUGAGCAGGAAAGCAGGGGAUCGCAAGACCUUGCGCUGAUUGAGCGGCCGAUGUCAGAUUAGCUAGUUGGUGAGGUAAAGGCUCACCAAGGCGACGAUCUGUAGCGGGUCUGAGAGGAUGAUCCGCCACACUGGAACUGAGACACGGUCCAGACUCCUACGGGAGGCAGCAGUGGGGAAUUUUGGACAAUGGGGGCAACCCUGAUCCAGCCAUGCCGCGUGAGUGAAGAAGGCCUUCGGGUUGUAAAGCUCUUUCGGCCGGGAAGAAAUCGUAUGGGCUAAUACCCUGUGCGGAUGACGGUACCGGCAUAAGAAGCACCGGCUAACUACGUGCCAGCCGCCGCUGUAA